AGUGAACGCUGGCGGUAGGCCUAACACAUGCAAGUCGAACGGCAGCACAGUAAGAGCUUGCUCUUACGGGUGGCGAGUGGCGGACGGGUGAGGAAUACAUCGGAAUCUACUUUUUCGUGGGGGAUAACGUAGGGAAACUUACGCUAAUACCGCAUACGACCUACGGGUGAAAGCAGGGGAUCUUCGGACCUUGCGCGAUUGAAUGAGCCGAUGUCGGAUUAGCUAGUUGGCGGGUUAAAGGCCCACCAAGGCGACGAUCCGUAGCUGGUGUGAGAGGAUGAUCAGCCACACUGGAACUGAGACACGGUCCAGACUCCUGCGGGAGGCAGCAGUGGGGAAUAUUGGACAAUGGGCGCAAGCCUGAUCCAGCCAUACCGCGUGGGUGAAGAAGGCCUUCGGGUUGUAAAGCCCUUUUGUUGGGAAAGAAAAGCAGCAGGUUAAUACCCCGCUGUUCUGACGGUACCCAAAGAAUAAGCACCGGCUAACUUCGUG
rnacentral:rRNA from 1 species